rnacentral:rRNA from 1 species
AACGCGUGGGUAACCUACCCUUUACACACGGAUAACAUACCGAAAGGUAUGCUAAUACGGGAUAAUAUAUUUGAGAGGCAUCUCUUGAAUAUCAAAGGUGAGCCAGUACAGGAUGGACCCGCGUCUGCUUAGCUAGUUGGUAAGGUAACGGCUUACCAAGGCGACGAUCAGUAGCCGACCUGAGAGGGUGAUCGGGCACAUUGGAACUGAGACA